GCUGCAGGGGCGAACUGGAGAGAGGCCCGAGGGGGACUAGAGGCCAUGUCACAGGAGGGUUUGUUGGCUUUUUCCAGACCUCUCAACUUCUUGAAAAGCAUUAUGGAAUGUCAUCAACUUGUUCAUAUUUUGGAGAGUUAAAUUGGACACUGACCAAAUUGUCAAACCUAAAUAUUGUGUUUGGUAAAAUAAAUAAAUAAAUAAAAUGCAUCACACCAAAAA